rnacentral:rRNA from 1 species
UACGUAGGGGGCGAGCGUUGUCCGAAUUUACUGGGCGUAAAGCGCGCGUAGGCGGGUUCUUAAGUUGGUGGUGAAAUUCCGAGGCUCAACCUCGGAACUGCCUCCAAAACUGGGAGCCUAGAGGUUUGGAGAGGAAAGCGGAAUUCCUGGUGUAGCGGUGAAAUGCGUAGAUAUCAGGAGGAACACCGAUGGCGAAGGCAGCUUUCUGGCCAUAUCCUGACGCUGAGGUGCGAAAGCUAGGGUAGCGAACGGGAUUAGAUACCCCGGUAGUCCUAGCCGUAAACGAUGGAUACUAGGUGUUAGAGGUAUCGACCCCUCUAGUGCCGGAGCUAACGCAUUAAGUAUCCCGCCUGGGGAGUACGACCGCAAGGUUGAA